rnacentral:rRNA from 1 species
AGCAGCCGCGGUAAUUCCAGCUCCAAUAGCGUAUAUUAAAGUUGUUGCAGUUAAAAAGCUCGUAGUUGAAUUUCGGGAUUGACGUGAUGGUCAUGCCUUAAGGGGUAUGAACUGUUACUGUUGAUUUCUCACCUUCUGGAGAAACUUGAUGUCCUUUAUUGGGUGUCUUGCGGAUCCAGGACCUUUACCUUGAAAAAAUUAGAGUGUUUAAAGCAGGCAUUUUUGCUCGAAUACAUUAGCAUGGAAUAAUAGAAUAGGACGGCAUGGUUCUAUUUUGUUGGUUUCUAGGAUCACCGUAAUGAUUAAUAGGGAUAGUUGGGGGCAUUAGUAUUCAAUUGUCAGAGGUGAAAUUCUUGGAUUUAUUGAAGACUAACUACUGCGAAAGCAUUUGCCAAGGAUGUUUUCAUUAAUCAAGAACGAAAGUUAGGGGAUCGAAGACGAUCAGAUACCGUCGUAGUCUUAACCAUAAACUAUGCCGACUAGGAAUCAGACGAUGUUAAUUUUUUAAUGACUCGUUUGGCACCUUACG